AUGGGACAGGCCACACAGACCACAGGCACACAGCCCUAAAAAUACACAGAGGCUCAGCAGAGGCUCCCCUCCUUCAUUCAUUUGCGCCAUGGGCAGUGAUGUAACGGUGAAACCAACCUGUGUAGGUGUGAGAAAAAACAAAAACAAUGGAGACGACCCUCAGAUCUCAUCCGGGCCCAAGAAUUUUUUUUUUUGACAAUUUCAGCCCGGAGACAACGAAAAAAAAAAGACAAAUUGGGUCUUUUGGGCUGCGUCACGAGGGAGACAUUCAUGAGGAGUCAUAAAACCGUCACGCCGAUUUGAUUGAUCGGCCUGCGGGCCGGCUCUCCCUACACAGACAACCAUCUCCACGCCGCAUGGUGCCACCCGUCAUCUCCCCCGAUCUGAAGACAGCGAGGCGAGAAGGGAGCCGACGGAUGAUGUUUACAGAGGACACCGGGCGAGUGUUUCACAACGGCUGCUUCCUUCCCGGAUGGCUCGAGUGGCGCGGAAGGAUAAGAGAGGAGAAAAGGUCACCAAUCGACAAAGACGCCCGUUCACCAGGGGCCCGUCGGCUCCUCCCUUCAAAUUGCGAGCAAAUAAACCGCCUCUGCAGACCGCCGACCCCUAAUCAAUACCCUCUCUUUGCACCCCGACUGCUGGGUGUUGACACGCGGAGCGCACUACGUGCCUUCCUCCGACACUGGCCCAGAAAUAUCAGAUUGACAGUUUCCAGUCCCACCACAACUCAAACUACGGCCAAUUCAAUAUAACAACAGCCCCAACCAGGAACCAAUUCAAAACCCACGGGGGAUAAAGCAGCAGUUUAAGAAGUAGCCCACCCUAGGGGUUGAAAGCUUGUAUCCCAUCCAACCCUGAAAGCUGUUUUCACUCAAAACAUUGUCAGCGUGCCCAAACAUGUCAGAGGAAGUUAUUUGUAACAAGAAGGAUCGGGAACUAUCCUUUGGAUCUGUCAUCGGGCCCUGGAGGGGAAGCUCGCCGCUCACUGGCCGCACACCUCCGCCGGCCAAUCAGAAGGCAGGAAAGGAAAAUAAAUAGGUGGCUCUGUCUCCGAAUGGACGGCUCACCCCCGGUGGUUUCAUCAUCCGCCCGGCGUGUCGGGUGCAAUGGCAACAGAGUUUCUGAGAAGAGUUUUUUUUUCCUCUGCUGGUCUCUCCCAGUCGGUGAACACACUUUUAAACACAGCACAUGGAGAGAGAGGUUCACGCAAACAAUCUCAAACAAAAUCCCAGUGUGUUGCAUAAACAACCAAACAAAGCAAUAGCUAUCAUGGGAACCUAAAAUGUUGUGUCAUUUCAACGCCUCGACCAGCUAUUCAAGAUUCCUCUUCAAAUGCAUUCAACUUUCUGGUCCAACUUGCAAGAAUGUGUGCGUAGAAGUAAUGUUUACUUAUGAAAGCACUAAAAGGUUUAAGCCACUGAUGCAGUGUUCCACUGGCAUGAAGUUCCCACAGAUAACAUUUAUUAAAAACAUAAGAAAUAGACAAUAGAAUCGUCAAAGGCAGAUAAAUCCUGACUUUUCCUUCCUCAAUAUUAAAACCUCCAAUAAACCUGGAAACUACAUUUCCCAUUAAGCAAAUGACUAAAUUGAGGUCUUGCUCCAAACUUUGCAAAGCUCCCUCUGACCUGGAAACCUUUAACUAGUUAGGUAUCCAAGUAUCACUGUCUUCUCCAGAACACAGACUGCGGCAGCUCAUCAACACAUGCACAUGAAACAAACUAGCACAGAUCAGAACAUAAUGAAUAAAUGAAUCAUUUUCUUAGCAUUUCCUGUCGUACCGUUUGUGAUGGGGCAGCAUCCGGGAAAUGAGUCACUGCAGCUCGACCCAACCAGCCCUAUCGGCGCGAAAACUAACUUUAUUAGAAGAUCACAAGGCGCGAGGGGCCGGCAACAGCAGAAGCCAUUAAUCAAAGGUGGGGCGGCUGGCAUGCGCGGCGCGGUGGGAGGCUUCGUUGGAAAAGCAUCACAGAAAAUGACUCAUCCUUUUCCAGAUUUGUCGGUGCAAUUCCCUCACGUCUCCUCCUCCUUCAUCAUCAUCAUCAUCAUCAUCAUCCCAGCAAACCCUGAAAGAAAUGUCAGCGGCCGAAUGUUGAUCCCCGGUGCACUGAAACGAACCAACGUUAAAUUUGCAUCGUGCAAACACCAGCUGGCGUGCCGAGGCGAGGCGCGCUGAAACGUGAGCGUCACACGCAACGCACGGGCACAAUCAUUCAUACAGGCGCGAUGCUCUAUCACAGACACACACACACACACACAUGGAAACUCCCCCAAGGCCGCCUGUGCCCAAUCAAUUGUUGUAACCAUUACUCAACACAUGUGGCUAAUUUGUCCCUGGCAACUUGCAUCAGGGCCGCGUGAUGCUCUGCAGAGAGAGAGAGAGAGAGAGAGAGAGAGAGAGAUAGAACAAAGCCGGGGGCCCGACCCAACACACACACACACGGGACGGGUGUUCGCCACUUUGACCAGUCCGGGCCCGCCGCUCCGCUUGCUUCUGUCCGCGCACGCCAGCACCGUACACGUCAGCCAGGACUGGAGGCAUGGCGUCAGGCGCCUGGUGCAGGCUGCAGAGAGAGAGUCGUUUCACCGGAUUGAAGCUAAAUACGCUGGAGCCCACGGCUGGAAGAACAUAGAGAGAAGAGUUACUGACGCGUCCUCACACAUUUGUCAAUGCAGGCGGACCGACUGACGGAUGCAUUCGUUGGCGCGCUUGCGCACACACACACACACACACACACACAGGCUCUGUGGGUAAUAGCGGCUGCAUGGGUGUUAGAGGGGCGCCACUGUGGUCGGAUUGGGCUGUCUGGGAGCAUAAAGUGGCCCUCUCAUGGUUCCCCACUUGCCGUGGGUGGUCUGACUCCGGCGUUGCUGUGUGUGUGUGUGUGUGUAGACAGGGACGGACAUACACUCGUCCUGCAAAGGUGAGAUGAGUGAGUGUGUGUGGUUGCAGGCCGGGCAGCCUGGGCAGUGCCCACACAUGGAGCGCCGCAAGUCCCACCACGGACGAUCGGGGGCUCGGGCACGGGAUGGACUCGGUAUGCUCCAACGGGCCCUCGGGAAACCUCAGCCGCUUUUAGCCCCCCCCGCCCACUUCCAACCAAGCCAACAGCCCCGGCCCAACAAACGAGUCUGGAGGCAGACGCUCACCCUGAAGCAUCAGAGGACAGCGGACUCCUUGGGUUUCUAAGUUGUGGCCGAAAGGGAGAAAAAUAA